GUGCUCACUUUGGCACCACACAUACUAAAAUUGAAUGGUAUGGAAAAGGGCAGCAUGGCCCUAUGCAAGGAUGAUGUGCAAAUUUGUGAAGAGUUCCAUAUUUUU
rnacentral:snRNA from 1 species